CCUACGGGAGGCAGCAGUGGGGAAUAUUGGGCAAUGGGCGCAAGCCUGACCCAGCAACGCCGCGUGAAGGAAGAAGGCUUUCGGGUUGUAAACUUCUUUUAACAGGGAAGAGCAGAAGACGGUACCUGUCGAAUCAGCCACGGCUAACCAGGUGCCAGAAGCCGCGGUAAUACGUAGGUGGCAAGCGUUGUCCGGCUUUACUGGGUGUAAAGGGCGUGUAGCCGGGCUGACAAGUCCGAUGUGAAAUCCGGGGGCUCAACCCCCGAACUGCAUUUGACACUGGUGGUCUUGAGUAUCGGAGAGGCAGGCAGAAUUCCAGGUGUAGCGGUGAAAUGCGUAGAGAUUAGGAGGAACACCAGUGGCGAAGGCGGCCUGCUGGACGACGACUGACGGUGAGGUGCGAAAGCGUGGGGAGCAAACAGGAUUAGAUACCCUUGUAGUC
rnacentral:rRNA from 1 species